rnacentral:rRNA from 1 species
UAGGGAAUAUUGCACAAUGGGGGAAACCCUGAUGCAGCGACGCCGCGUGAGUGAUGAAGGCCUUCGGGUCGUAAAGCUCUGUCGUAUGGGACUAACAAAAUGAAGGUACCAUGCAAGAAAGGAUCGGCUAACUUCGUGCCAGCAGCCGCGGUAAGACGAGGGAUCCUAGCGUUGUUCGGAAUUAUUGGGCGUAAAGCGGGUGUAGGCGGACUUAUAAGUCAGGUGUGAAAUCCCAGGGCUCAACCCUGGAAGUGCACUUGAUACUGCAAGUCUUGAGUGUGGUAGAGGCUAUUAGAAUUCCUGGUGUAGUGGUGAAAUACGUAGAUAUCAGGAGGAAUACCGGAGGCGAAGGCGGAUAGCUGGGCCAACACUGACGCUGAGACCCGAAAGCGUGGGGAUCAAACAGGAUUAGAUACCCAGGUAGUCCCUGAGCGGGCUGGCAAGGCGCAU